ACCUGCACAACGUGAUGCUGCCACCCCCUUGCUUCACGGUUGAAAUGAUGUUCUUCGGCUUGCAAGCCUCCCCCUUUUUCCUCCAAACAGUUCUAUUUUUGUUUUAUCAGACCAGAGAACAUUUCUCCAAAAAGUACGAUGUUUGUCCCCAUGUGCAGUUGCUAACCAUAGUGCCUUCUUCGUUGCUGUGCGGCAUUUCAGGUUAUGUCGAUAUAGGACUCGUUUUACUGUGGAUAUAGAUACUAUGUACCUGUUUCCUCCAGCACCUUCACAAGGUCCUUUGCUGUUGUUCUGGUAUUGAUUUGCACUUUUCACACCAAAGUAUGUUCAUCUCGAGGAGACCGAAUGCGUCUCCUUCCUGAGCGGUAUGACAGCUGCGUGGUCCCAUGGCGUUUAUACUUGCGUACUAUUGUUUGUACAGAUGAACAUGGUACCUUCAGGUUUUUGGAAAUUGCUCCCAAGGAUGAACCAGACUUGUGGUGGUCUACAAUUUUUUUUCUGGGGUCUUGGCUGAUUUCGUUUGAUUUUCCCAUGAUGUCAAGCUAAGAGGCACUGAGUUUGAAGGUAGGCCUUGAAAUAAAUCCACAGGUAGACUUCCAAUUGACUCAAAUGAUGUCAAUUAGCCUAUCAGAAGCUUCUAAAGCCAUGACAUCAUUUUCUGGAAUUUUCCAAGCUGUUUAACUUCUUUGGGAUAGGGGGCGGUAUUUUGACGUCUGGAUGAAAAGCGUGCCCAAAGUAAACUGCCUUCUACUCAGGCCCAGAAGCUAGGAUAUGCAUAGAAUUGGUAGAUGUGGAUAGAACACACUCUAAAGUUUCUAAAACUGUUAAAAUAAUAUCUGUGAGUAUAACAGAACUGAAAUGGCAGGCGAAACCCCGAGGACAAACCAUCGCCCCCAAAAAAGAAUUCAUCCUACAACUGAUUUCAAUGGCUGGCACUUUUAUAAUAGGGCAAAAUCGUCCCCGAUUGCAGUUCCUAGGGCUUCCACUAGAUGUCAACAGUCUUUAGAAAGAGUUUCAGGCUGGUUUUUGGAAAAAUUAGCCAGAAAUUAUAGUUUUGCUAGGUGGCUCCCAUUUUGGCUGUAGUGUUUCCAAACACGUGAAUGAGAGCGCGUUCUUAGAUUUUUUUUUCUCCAGUAAAGACAAUAAUGAUUCUCCGUCUUAAAUUUGAUCGUUUAUUUGCGUAUUAGGGUACCUAAGGUUUGAUUAUAAACGUUGAUUGACUUGUUUGGAUAAGUUUAUUGGUAAAGUUUGGGAUUAAUUUUGUAUGCAUUUUGAAGGAGGGAAACCAAGUCGAUUAUAUACUGAAGCGUGCCAGCUAAACUGAGUUUUUAUGGACAUAAAGAAGGACUUCAUCGAACGAAAGGACCAUUUGUAAUGUAACUGGGACAUUUUGGAGUGCCAACAGAAGAAGAUCUUCAAAGUUUUCUUGAAAGCACCAUAAAUCCAGAGAAUGACAGAAUUAAUUGAUGGCAAAAUGUGAUGACAAACUUUGUCCACGAAGGACUGCCACGCCACCUUCCUGUUCAAGAGAGCACAGCACAACAAGCAGCAACAGGGGCCCGUCUGUGCGAGGAGAGAGGAACAUGAAUUCAAUCAAACCAACAAUGCUUUCAAAAAGCCAGGUCACCAGUGAUACUAGUCAGUGUUGGACAUCCAUCCAUGUCUGAGGAUGUCAGGAGAUGACAUGGAAACUGGCCACCAGGAGCAACAGUGAGCACUGUUACCUUCAACUAUCAGGCAGCUAGCGGAGAGGGCAGUCUCCUCUCCUCCUUUCCCAAUUUCUACUCACUCCACCUCUCCGUUUGGAGGCCUGUGCCUCUUCACUUCUGGAGCAUCAUGGAGGAACCUCAGGGGGAAGAGGGGGAGAGAGAGAGAGACAGAGAGAGAGAGAGAGAGAGAGAGAGAGAGCACCUGCAGAUGGAAAUGAAAACGGACCCACAACAACAACCACUUCACAAGUCAACCAGUGGAAAUGUAACCCUCUUGGCUUGGGUAGACCCAACCCACCCCUUGUCCUAUAUACACUGAGAGGUGUCUAUCGGAUUCCGCGAUCAAGAUGCGAUUACAACGACUUCCAACGACUUCCUUCUCAGUGAAUGGGGGGGAUGCAGAUGUCAGCCCGGCCCUUCAGUGAAGCAGAACAAUAGCCUCAAAGGCUCCUUCCACACAAUAGACC
rnacentral:lncRNA from 1 species